rfam:Pongo abelii chromosome 19.
GUGUUCGCUUUGGCAGCACAUCUACUAGAACUGGAAUGAUACAGGGAUGAUUGUGGCCCCUGCACAAAGAUGACAUGCACAUUCUUGAAGCAUCCCAACAUAAAACUUAUUU